AUACGGAAGGUCCGGGCGUUAUCCGGAUUUAUUGGGUUUAAAGGGAGCGCAGGCGGAGAUGCAAGCGUGACGUCAAAUUUCGGGGCUCAACCCCGUCUCGCGUCGCGAACUGCGUCCCUUGGUUGCGGGAAGGGGAGGCGGAACUCGUGGGGUAGCGGGGAAAUGCAUAGAUAUCACGAGGAACUCCGAUUGCGCAGGCAGCUUACUAGGCCAUAACUGACGCUCAGGCACGAAGGCGUGGGGAUCAAACAGGAUUAGAUACCCUGGUAGUCCACGCAGUAAACUAUGAUUACUCGCUGUUUGCGAUACACCGUAAGCGGCUUAGCGAAAGCGUUAAGUAAUCCACCUGGGGAGUACGUUCGCAAGAAUGAAACUCAAAGGAAUUGACGGGG
rnacentral:rRNA from 1 species